GCUGAUGUGGCGCAGUGGUAACGCAUUUGACUUGUAAUCAAAAGAUCCCCGGUUCAAUCCCGGGCAUCAGCU
rfam:Fistulifera solaris DNA, contig: scaffold00048, strain: JPCC DA0580.